GUGAGGAAUAUUGGUCAAUGGGCGAGAGCCUGAACCAGCCAAGUCGCGUGAAGGAAGAAGGAUCUAUGGUUCGUAAACUUCUUUUGCAGGGGAAUAAAGUGCAGGACGUGUCCUGUUUUGUAUGUACCCUGAGAAUAAGGAUCGGCUAACUCCGUGCCAGCAGCCGCGGUAAUACGGAGGAUCCGAGCGUUAUCCGGAUUUAUUGGGUUUAAAGGGUGCGUAGGUGGUUUGAUAAGUCAGCGGUGAAAGUUUGCAGCUUAACUGUAAAAAUGCCGUUGAAACUGUCGGACUUGAGUGUAAAUGAGGUAGGCGGAAUGCGUGGUGUAGCGGUGAAAUGCAUAGAUAUCACGCAGAACUCCGAUUGCGAAGGCAGCUUACUAAGCUACAACUGACACUGAAGCACGAAAGCGUGGGGAUCAAACAGGAUUAGAUACCCUGUAGUCC
rnacentral:rRNA from 1 species